rnacentral:rRNA from 1 species
CAGCCGCCGCGGGAAUACGUAGGUGGCAAGCGUUGUCCGGAAUUAUUGGGCGUAAAGGGCUCGCAGGCGGUUUCUUAAGUCUGAUGUGAAAGCCCCCGGCUCAACCGGGGAGGGUCAUUGGAAACUGGGAAACUUGAGUGCAGAAGAGGAGAGUGGAAUUCCACGUGUAGCGGUGAAGUGCGUAGAGAUGUGGAGGAACACCAGUGGCGAAGGCGACUCUCUGGUCUGUAACUGACGCUGAGGAGCGAAAGCGUGGAGAGCGAACAGGAUUAGAUACCCGCGUAGUCCCUGUCUCUUAUAC